CUGAGACCGAUGCGCGAUUCCCGGCCUCCCGUCGCCCUCGGGUGGCGGGGCCAAGGUCGGCGCGCUCCGCUUUGGUGACUCUGGAUAACUCACUGGUCGAUCGCACGGGCUCUACGCCCGGCGACGGGUCCCUCGAGGGUCCGCCCUAUCAACUG
rnacentral:rRNA from 1 species